rnacentral:rRNA from 1 species
AGUGAACGCUGGCGGUAGGCCUAACACAUGCAAGUCGAACGGCAGCACAGGAGAGCUUGCUCUCUGGGUGGCGUGUGGCGGACGGGUGAGGAAUACAUCGGAAUCUACUUUUUCGUGGGGGAUAACGUAGGGAAACUUACGCUAAUACCGCAUACGACCUACGGGUGAAAGCAGGGGAUCUUCGGACCUUGCGCGAUUGAAUGAGCCGAUGUCGGAUUAGCUAGUUGGUAGGGUAAAGGCCUACCAAGGCGACGAGCCGUAGCGGGUCUGAGAGGAUGAUCCGCCACACUGGGACUGAGACACGGCCCAGACUCCUACGGGAGGCAGCAGUGGGGAAUUUUGGACAAUGGGCGAAAGCCUGAUCCAGCCAUGCCGCGUGAGUGAAGAAGGCCUUCGGGUUGUAAAGCUCUUUCAGCCGGAAAGAAAUCGCGCAGGAUAAUACUCUGCGUGGAUGACGGUACCGGAAGAAUAAGCCCCGGCUAACUCCGUGCCAGCCGCCGCGGUAA